AACGGAUUUGGCGGCAAGAUAGACCAUUUAGAGGAACCUGCCCUAUAAACGAUGGACCACGAAUACAUUACUUCUAUUAGUAAACAGUUUGUAUACCGCUGUUGUUAGUUAGUUUUAUUAGAAAACUUUCAGUUUUGGCUUACCAUUGACUUCAAGUAAAGGUGCAGCACAUAUAGAAGAAAGAGGUGGGUUACAAUUAAUUGAGUAAAACGGAAAAAAGUAGGAAGAUAUUUUUUGAAGGUGGAUUUAAUAGUAAGAUCUUAAAGGAUUUGAUGGGUGCCCUAUUUUGUGUACACACCGCCCGUC
rnacentral:rRNA from 1 species